AACGAACGCUGGCGGCAUGCCUAACACAUGCAAGUCGAACGAGACCUUCGGGUCUAGUUGCGCACGGGUGCGUAACGCGUGGUAACCUGCCCUUAGGUUCGGAAUAACUCCCCGAAAGGGGUGCUAAUACCGGAUAAUGUCUUCGGACCAAAGAUUUAUCGCCUUUGGAUGGGCCCGUGUUGGAUUAGCUAGUUGGUAGGGUAAAAGCCUACCAAGGAGAAGAUACAUAGCUGGUCUGAGAGGAUGAUCAGCCACACUGGGACUGAGACACGGCCGAGACUCCUACGGGACGGAGCAGUGGGGAAUAUCGGACAAUGGGCGAGAGCGUGAUCCAGCAGUGGCGCGUGAGUGAUGAAGGCCUUAGGGUUGUAAAGCUCUUUUAGCCGAGAUGAUAAUGACAGUACCGGGAGAAUAAGCACCGGCUAACUCCGUG
rnacentral:rRNA from 1 species